GGUAGAAUAUUGCUAAUGUUACGCACUUUAUUGUGCUUCUAAGAUUAGGUUGACUGACUGUACUGUCAUCUAUAAAUAUUGUUGAGCAUGAGCUGUAUUUUUUUGUAAGCUGUCCUGGAGAAACCUCUGAGUUUUACUCACGUGGUUGAUGUGGUUACUCUUCCUCUUCUCUCGCACAUCUGUUUGAGACUUGCUCAGGAAAAUUGUGCUUGCUCUGGGAUGAUCAGACGGAUUGGAUUCCAAGGCUAAAUCAUCCGGGAACUCGCGGUCGCUGAUGUGCUGGAGGUGCGGGCCGCCGCCGCCGGGCUCCGAGUCCCCCGAGUCGGCCUCCGCCGAGCCCGAGCCGCCGCCGCUCGCCGCCGCCUGGUACGCGUCCGCCCAGCGCUCGGGCCCCGCCGCCGCCCCGCCGCCGCCGCCGCCGCGGGCCCGGCCGAGCUUGGGGCUGGCGUCCGGCGACACGCAGCAGGUGACGGUGUUGCCCAUGGAGCUCGGCGCUCCCCCGCCGGGCCCCGGCUACGCGGCCGCCGGGUGGGGCGGGGGAGGGGGCGCGGAGGCACCGGGCUGAGGGAGGGAGGCGGGCGGGCGUCAGCGCUCAGCGCCGCAUCACCGUCGCCUCCGCCCCGGCGAGGCGCGGCCCACGCCCGCCCCAACGGCCGCAGCGCGAGCCGCCGCCUCCUGCGCGCGGCGACCGACGGCCCUGGCGGAGCGGCCACCUUCCCCCGGGCCGGGGGAGGGGGAGAGGCGCGGCCCCGCCUCGCCGCCGGCCAAUCGCCCGCCGCCGCCCCGCCGCGUGACGCCGCUCCGCCAACGGCCGCCGCCGUCGUCACGCGCCGCCGCCGCGCUCCGUCCCCCGCCCUCCCCGGGUGCACGCGCGCGCGCAGCACCGCCCCUCGCGCCUCCCCCGGCUCGCGCCCCGCCUUCGGGCCCGCCCGCGGGGGUGCGGGGCUCGGGGCGCGCGGCCGGCACGUGCCGGGAGCGGCGGCGCGAGGGGGGCGCCGCUCGGCGGCCGGGUGCGGGCCGGGCCGCGGCUCCUACCGCUCGCGAGCCGCCGCUCCCAGCGCCGGCCCAGGCGAGGAUCCGUGGCUCGCGGAGAGCGGCCUUCCUCUGCGCUCCGAGCCUCUUGGCCGUGUGGCGGCCCUCGCGCAGAGCUGGCGCGUCAGAAGAGCGCGAGACCCGCCGCCGGGUGCUCUGUGCGGCGGCGACGGCGCUGGGCGCACGGGGUUGCGCUGGGUGGAGGUGGCGCCACGCCUGCUCCGCACGGCCCCGCGCACACCGACUCGGUGCCGCGGCCGCAUUCCGAACGCCGCCCGCUGUGAUUUACCGCCGGUCCCAUCCUUUUCCUGUGCCACCCUUCUGCCAUCUCGCUUGAUUUACCCCCGUGAGUCAGCGGUUCCCAUCGCACCAACGCCCAUCGCUGUGCUGGGGGUGCGGCCCUCCCGCUGCACGCCGGGCUGAGGGCGAGCGCAGCGGCCUCGGGAUGUUCUGCGUGGAGUUGGUUGGGCCUUCCAAACGCGAACCUCGCUUUGUGAGGACAGAAAGUAAUUCCCUUCCGUUUGUGUUCACGGAGAAAAUGUGACCUAAAAAGAACGCGCAAAGCAGCAGCCCAGGGUUCUGGCUGGGACUGACACCCUGGCUGGUGUUAACACCGCGCAGGGGCCCUCCUGAGCUGCGUGCUCACCGUCAGCACGCGGGCCGCUCCACAGGCCUUCAGCUCUGUUCCCAGAGAUCACCUUUGGACCUUCCACAAGCUGGGAAACGAACCCAAACAGGAGCCCUCUGGGGGAGCGGCUGUAGCCGCCAGGAGAGCUUCCAGCAGCCCCAGGGCCGGGCAGGGCUCCAGGAUGAAGGCAGAUCACGGUGACAGCGGCAACCCGUAUUCCCCAAACGUGGGGAUGGAGCAGUGGUUUAUUCUGAAAACACAAAGCACCGGAUUCCCUCUUGCUGCACACACGGGGAGCCCAAAGGGCCGCUUACUGGAGCCCACCCAGUUCUGCUCCGGGUGGUUCUGCUCUGCACUUGGCCUGUUUGCCCCACACAUGAGUCGCUGCCUGCUGGCACUGUUUGCAGACGAGAGCUGCCCAGCCCAGGCCUUCCCCACAGCGGUUCCGUGCCAGCAGAUCCACUUGCAUUUGUGUUUGACUCCUGCAGAAGCCAAGUGCUGGAGCGCACAGCCACACAGCUCUCCAGCCCAGGCUCCACCAUACAGAGCCAUGAGAAGCUUUAUCCCUGAUUGCGGAGCCAGAAGCCAUCACUACCAGCUGCUGUCUGAACAACUCUUGGGAACCUCCAAUAUCUGUAGGCAUUAUAGCCCACACCAACGGCAUGGAGCAGCCAGGAGUCUCCCUGAAUGUCUGGAAGGACAGUGCAGGUCCUUAAGCCAUCAGCUUGGCAGCCAGCCUCAGUGCCAGGAGCAGAGACCAGCUCUUUGCAGAUGCUUGUUGUGCUUCACAGGGGCGAGAAUUUUAAAUCCUGUACAUUCUGCUCUUAUCUGCACCUUGACUCUGUGCCUCAUGUGCUUUCCCAAGGCCGUGUGCCUCCUUGGUUGUUUGCUGGGAGAUAACGGCAGCCCUGGCCUGAGGCCUCGUCCCUUCAGCCCUUCUUAGAAAGUGUCCCGGCUGCAGGCACAGGAGCGCUCUCCUGCCUGAGCCUCCGGCAGCCUGCGGGUGACUUGGAGAGGAGCCACGGCAUUGUCUUUUCCUGGAAACGUGGCUGCAGGAAGAGUGAAUCACAGGUUGGACCCGUGUAACCAACUGAAAACAAAAGCUCAGGAUUCUGCAUCUCACUGCUGUGAAUAAUGGGGGGAAAAGUGGGCAUCCUGUUUUGAAAUCCAGCACCAGCUGACAGGAUGAAAAUACUGCAGGCAUGAUUGUCUUCUGAGGCUCAGCAGUAACAAGGCUGUGGCCAUUUAAGGGAAAAAAACUGAAACAAAACAGUACUGAGGGAAACAGAUCCCAUGCCUCCGCUAGGACGUGAGUAAAAAGAAACCAGUGAGGUCGUUCACAACACACAGGGUCACAGGGUGAGGUUUAGUAGCCCUAAACGUUCUCAGUUUUCAGAUCACCUCCUGUGCUAUUGGCGAGCGGUGAGCAGUGCCAGCAGGGCUGGGAGCUGUGCCUCACUGCACACAGACUGCAGCACUGGUGUCACUGAUCCCACCUGUACCUGUGUCUCUGCAGCAAUCCAGGAUGUCAGCGCAGGCAGUGCAGAGGUUCUCAGCACACGAGCACCUGGAUCACUGCGGUGAUGCCAACAGCACAAACAUAUGGCAGUGAGUGUUUUUUUUCGACCUCGGAGUCUUUUUUUUGGAUCCUGCCUUCAUUUUGUCCUAAGGAAACAUAAAAGCAGCUUUUGCAGGUAUCGGAGGCUCAAGAGAAUGAACUGCAGCCGUGGAGUUAUGGACACCUGAUCCCCGAGGAGAGGAUCUCGGAUGCGCUGAAAUCAAGGAGGCUGUGCUCUGUGCUGCUGGGCAGAGUUGGCACAGCUCCUCUUCCCGAGGAGCCGAGCGUUGGAAAUAGCUGUACUGCAGGUCAUGUAUGCAGUUUUCCUAUAAGGAAAAGGGAAACGCUUUCCAGUAUUUUAACACAAACAUGAACGUGGUAUGCGUGACUUCAUUCAGAAACAGCAAACUGCAUGAGUAAGCCCCGCUGUAGGUUUGUUGAAAGAAAACUUAUAAAGGCUUAAUUCCAGCGUGGGCCAUGCAAAGCCUGGAAGGAGGCCCUGAGGAGCCCCUCUUGCGAGGUCUGAGGCACCAGAAAUUGCCUACAUGUGCCUGGUGCUUCUUCUCCUUUGUCUGAAGGGAUUUGUUUCUAAAGAGUGGAGAAAAGCUUCCUAAUACCAUCUCAAAUAAAUGAAUAAAUAAAUAAACCAACAAAAAACCAUUUUUCCUGGUUUCUACUUGGUUAAAAAGGGGAACCUGAUGCAUCUACCUGCAUGCUCGAGCUGCUGUCUGCUCGCCUAUACAACUGUUUUCAAACUGCCCUUAGUUGUUGUUAACUAGUUGUAAAUUAAUACAGUGCACGGCUUGCACUGUAAUUUUCCCUCCAAUUACACAACUCUGCACCUACAGAACACAUCAGAAAUGCGAGCGCUUAUAAUUAACCCUCUGGAUCUACAUUCAACCUCCACCAAAGGGUGUUUUUGCAGCACAGUUCCCAGCACAGCAGCAUCCCACAGGCAGACACCUGAGCCAGGCGCUCUGCAGCCCCCAGCCAGGCACCCC
rnacentral:lncRNA from 1 species